GGCCCAUGACCCCACCCUUCACUUCGUCUCCCAGAAAGAGAACCAAAAGGAUCGGCUCUGACAUCCUGUAGCCAUGUCAUCUGCUCUGCUGGGUUGCAGGGACCAAGGUGGACCCCCAGGAUCACGUGUCCUCCAGUUCUAAUUUUUCAGGGACUUCUGGCAAGAUGGCUUAGCA
rnacentral:lncRNA from 1 species